rnacentral:rRNA from 1 species
UACGGAGGGUGCGAGCGUUAAUCGGAAUUACUGGGCGUAAAGGGUGCGUAGGCGGUUGUAUAAGUUAUCUGUGAAAUCCCCGGGCUCAACCUGGGCAGGUCAGAUAAGACUGUAUGACUGGAGUAUAGUAGAGGGUAGUGGAAUUUCCGGUGUAGCGGUGAAAUGCGUAGAGAUCGGAAGGAACACCAGUGGCGAAGGCGGCUACCUGGCCUAAUACUGACACUGAGGCACGAAAGCGUGGGGAGCAAACAGG